AAGUCUAGGCCAGGAGCACAAGAAGAGAGAAGGAGGUCAUUCCCCUUUUCUGGCAGCAAGCGCUCGGUGGGGAUGUGUGUGGUACAGCAGAAAGAAAAACAGAGGAAGACUACAGAGAGGAGGAAGCCACAGAAUAAACAACAAUUGAACUUCAUCAUGAGAACUUCUUUUGGUUCAUUGCAAAAAUAAAUAAAUGCCUUCAUAUCAGCC